rnacentral:rRNA from 1 species
UACGUAGGGGGCUAGCGUUGUUCGGAAUUACUGGGCGUAAAGAGUGUGUAGGCGGUGCUCCAAGUCUGGUGUGAAAUCUCCCGGCUUAACUGGGAGGGUGCAUUAGAAACUGGAAUGCUAGAGGAUGGGAGAGGUAAGCGGAAUUCCUGGUGUAGCGGUGAAAUGCGUAGAUAUCAGGAGGAACACCUGUGGUGUAGACAGCUUACUGGACCAUUUCUGACGCUGAGACACGAAAGCGUGGGUAGCAAACAGG